rnacentral:rRNA from 1 species
AGAGUUUGAUCCUGGCUCAGGAUGAACGCUGGCGGCGUGCCUAAUACAUGCAAGUAGAACGCUGAAGGAAGGAGCUUGCUCUUUCCGGAUGAGUUGCGAACGGGUGAGUAACGCGUAGGUAACCUGCCUGGUAGCGGGGGAUAACUAUUGGAAACGAUAGCUAAUACCGCAUAACAACAGUUGUUGCAUGACAGCUGUUUAAAAGGUGCAAAUGCACCACUACCAGAUGGACCUGCGUUGUAUUAGCUAGUUGGUGAGGUAACGGCUCACCAAGGCGACGAUACAUAGCCGACCUGAGAGGGUGAUCGGCCACACUGGGACUGAGACACGGCCCAGACUCCUACGGGAGGCAGCAGUAGGGAAUCUUCGGCAAUGGACGGAAGUCUGACCGAGCAACGCCGCGUGAGUGAAGAAGGUUUUCGGAUCGUAAAGCUCUGUUGUAAGAGAAGAACGAGUGUGAGAGUGGAAAGUUCACACUGUGACGGUAUCUUACCAGAAAGGGACGGCUAACUACGUGCCAGCAGCCGCGGU